UGAAAUUUGUCUCCAAACAUGAUAUCAAAUUGGCUGAGACAGUCCACAAGCCCUCUUUAUCAUAUUUACAUUCAUGUACGGUAGAAUUGGUAGCAUAAACAACUACAAUAUACACCUAACAGGCAAUUCUCACACUCGAAGCAAAUUACCUGUAACAAGUUACCAUAAAUGGCAAAUCAAAUGGCUAGCUUUGCCUCUCAUGUAAAUAAUAAAUUAUACACUAUUUCAAUUGAUCUCGGAUUACACAAUGUGGGGAGCAUCUCUCACCCUCAACACAGCCAGAUAUGGAGGGAGGGAGGGAGGGGAGUAGGUGUAUUUGACAAGGGAAGAAAAAUAUAACAUUCAAAAAUUUUUGAAAGAUGUAUAUGAUCAGUUCCUUUUGCACCAGUUGGUUGAACUCUACUUUCUUUGUUGAAACACCAUCAAUUGAACUUCUUAAUGCUUAGAUCUUCAGUUGCUGGAGGCAGCAGCUGAAUAAUUGAAUCCUGUCUGACCGAAGGAUAAGAUGACAAGCUAAACCCCUCCAUCAUCAUAGAUUCAAUCAAUAUCCAUGCCUAAAAAGGGUAGCAUUGUCAUAACUUUGAGUGUUGUUUCCAUUGGGAACCACCUUCAAAUGCUUGCUCCAACACAUCUUCCAUUUUCUUGGCUAGUAAAAUCUGUAAAAAUAGAAAAAUAUGGAAAAUAAAUUGGCGUUGGAGAUGCAGCCCAUACAGUGCAAACAAAAGACCAUUUGAACAUCACGGAAAUUGAAUGGCAGACAAAUGCACGUGAGGCAAACAUCAUUAAAUAUCAUGCUCAAGGGAAUGAUUUCUGCUCCUUUUAUCCCUCUGCUCUAAUAGUUGGGAGAGAUGGGAUUUGAUCUCAGAAUCUUCUCUUUGAAAGAGAAUGUGGCUAACAAUUCUAUUAUGUAUGCCUCAGCAGCAAAGGAUGCGUAUAUUAAGUUCCAAUAAAAUUUCAAAGAAUACUUCUUUCAUAAUGUGAGGCCAAGUAAAUUGAAAUUGAUCAACAUUAAACCAUAAUUAGAAGUUAAUCACCUCAAGACUGCCAAGUACAGCUGAUGGUACUUCAACCAAGUCCUUCAAAUUUCUUUCUGUUAGUAUUACUCUCCGUAUUCGAUAACGAUGUGCUGCCAAUAUCUGCAAGAAAACAAUAUAAGAAUACACACUUCACUUCUGAUAUAAGCAUGCCAAUUUAUAUGGAACAAGGUGGAUAUUUAAGCUGCCAAAUUUCACAGCUGCGACACUGGUUCUUCAAACUGAAGGCUAAAAUUAAUAUUUGAGAAAGCAUAGAAUGUGCUCAUAGAUUAAGCAUACCACCAUAUCUUCACGGACCACAUAAUAACCAAUACAACAGUAAGAGCCAUCAAUUCAGGCAUGCACUGCAUGUAUAAUGACAAAUGCAAACUCAAACUAGACCAAUAAAUUUCUGUUCUAUACAUUCCCACUUUGCUAGAAGUUAAACUUCUGAUGUUAAAAGAAUUGAUGCAGCCUCAUCUUUUCACAUUCCCAACUGCUUAGCUGGAUGGUGGUCAUGCAAUAUGCAGAAAGGUAUCAAUCCUUACAAUUUGAGUGAAAGCCAGCACCAUGUGGCCAUUGCUUGGUAGUAUAUUCAGUAUAAUCUUAAAGAUAAUCCAUAGCCACCAUUUCAAUCCACCACAAAAAUCAUGGGUAAAACAUCAUAUAACCACACACACAAAAUCCAUGCACAAACACACUCACACACCCACCCUUGUGUUCACAAAUCCAACAUUCAUACAAUUAUACAAUCAUGGAGCUUGCAAGGUCAAAAAAAGAGAGAAAUUUAUCAAUAGUUCAACUCCAAAUAGAAUAGUGAUAACAUGAAUGGAAGCCAAAAGGACUGAUGUACACCAUUGCUAUAUUCCUCUCCUUACUGAUGAAGAUAACAAAAAGUAGCUGAAUAUGUGAGUGAGCAUUACCUUAUCCUUAAUACCACCAACAGG
rnacentral:misc_RNA from 1 species